rnacentral:rRNA from 1 species
GACAGAGGCCUCAAGCGUUAGGCGGAAUCACUGGGCUUAAAGCGUGUGUAGGCGGACGCCUAAGUGUCUUGUGAAAUCCCCCGGCUCACCCGGGGAACUGCUGGGCAUACUGGGCGUCUUGGGCCAACUAGGGGCAACUGGAACAAGCGGUGGAGCGGUGAAAUGCGUAGAUAUCGAGAGGAACACCUGCGGCGAAGGCGGGUUGCUGGGCUGAUACUGACGCUGAGGCGCGAAAGCUAGGGUAGCAAACAGG